CCAAAAUGUCCACAGUGCCCCACAAUUAGCCCUUGAAGUAGGUCAUCCAUUCCCUGACCCCAUAACUUGUUUACGUUCGUUCUGUAAAUAUAAGGGAUUAACUGAACCAAGAAACAAACCUGUUCAUGACGUGGAGAAAUGAGAACGUGUGAAAGUUACGACAAAAAGCAAAUUAGACUUGCAUUUUUCAAGGUAAUUUGGUCUUCGUAUCCAUGUUUGUGCAGAGCGACGAGUACAAAAAGUCGACAUGUUGGCGUAGAAGUAUGUUUUGCACGUCUUUGAAAGGCCUCUGAUCUGAGGAAAGCUGCGUUAUUUUACCGUGACGAAAUAUAUGAAACGUACAAUUAGGCUUAAAAGCUUAUUUGCAGCGUCAACUUUAAAUUAUUUGAAUUUCUCUCAAAAUACUCUCUUAAAUUCAUUUAACUGUUCAUCAAAAUUAGAUUUUCUGUUUUAACGAAAACAACUAGCCUCAGUACUUGUCCCUGCACAAAUUAUUACGUCAGAAGUUGUCGAGAGAAGGGAAGGGCCGUACGCCAGUCUGACUCGAAGGACGCAGAGGGGCUAUACAGUCUAGAUUUAUGAUGAUGACUUAUGACCCCAGGAAAAAAUACGAAGCCGAAAGUGCCUUCCGAUCGGCCCCUUUCAUUAACAGGAAGUGUCGAAGAGAAGUCUUGAUGAUAAAGAUAGCUGAUGUACAUAGAGUUUUCUGAGACAGAAGUGGCGGGCUCUGGUUUAUCAACAGUAGCAUGUUCACCCUCACAGGGCCCAUGAAAGGUUGAGAAGAAAACAGCCUCAUCCAGUCAGGUGCAGGAAGAGAAAGCUGUCUUUGGGAGGGCACAAGCUUGUCAGUAUGUCCUGUAGACACUAAUUCAGUGG